rnacentral:rRNA from 1 species
AGUGAACGCUGGCGGUAGGCCUAACACAUGCAAGUCGAACGGCAGCACAGUAAGAGCUUGCUCUUACGGGUGGCGAGUGGCGGACGGGUGAGGAAUACAUCGGAAUCUACUUUUUCGUGGGGGAUAACGUAGGGAAACUUACGCUAAUACCGCAUACGACCUACGGGUGAAAGCAGGGGAUCUUCGGACCUUGCGCGAUUGAAUGAGCCGAUGUCGGAUUAGCUAGUUGGCGGGGUAAAGGCCCACCAAGGCGACGAUCAUUAGCUGGUCUGAGAGGAUGAUCAGCCACACUGGAACUGAGACACGGUCCAGACUCCUACGGGAGGCAGCAGUGGGGAAUAUUGGACAAUGGGCGCAAGCCUGAUCCAGCCAUACCGCGUGGGUGAAGAAGGCCUUCGGGUUGUAAAGCCCUUUUGUUGGGAAAGAAAAGCAGCAGGUUAAUACCCCGCUGUUCUGACGGUACCCAAAGAAUAAGCACCGGCUAACUUCGUG